rnacentral:rRNA from 1 species
AUUACCGCGGCUGCUGGCACGGAGUUAGCCGAUGCUUAUUCUUACGGUACCAUCAGCUCUGAUGCUCGACCAGAGGUUUUUUCCCGUACAAAAGAAGUUUACAACCCAUAGGGCCUUCUUCCUUCACGCGGCAUGGCUGGUUCAGGCUUGCGCCCAUUGACCAAUAUUCCUUACUGCUGCCUCCCGUAGG